AUGUAUACAUACUUUAUAGAUAUAUAUACUUUAUACUCUGCGUAUAAGAAACUAUAAGGAACAAGCAUAUGAGCGAGCACAGGCAAGAGGAGGAGGAGAGAUGAGAAGAACAGAAAACUUAUCGGAUUUGUUAUUCCCAUCACCACUUAAGGGUGGCAAUAAUUACAUCCAUAUUUUGAGCAUUUCGAUUUGAAAGCGAACCGAUCCGACGCGCUCGACAGACCUCGCAGCGGAAUAUGUACACGUGUAUGUAUGUAUGUAUGUAUGUAUGUGUAUGCCUGCCGGGACAUGUUUUCCCCUGCAGAGGCCAACAAGAGGUGUCCAGCAGGCCAGGACGGAUGACUGAAAGGAUGGGGGAGAAAUGGUACGCCAGUGGAUGGAGAAGAGGAUUUGAGAGAAGAACCGAAGGAGUUGCACAAACAAUAACCUUGCCGACGAACUCGAUAUUUUUUAGACUAAAUUUGAUUUCUGUUUUUAUUCUUUCCGUCUUUUCUUGCCAGGUGGUCCCAGGGCAAUGAUAAACCACCAGUCGAGUGAAAUAUAACACAGAAAACCGACCAACGAUUUUCUUAACUAAUUCUCAUAGCCAUAUCGAACUUUUCUUGAUAGAUCUGGCGCUCCACAAAUAUAAAUUACCUAUGGUUUUUAUGGUAAGUGUUGUAUCUAAAAGAGAUUGUCUUUAUGUUUAGGGCUUUAUUUGGCAAAAAAAAAUUUGUUUAUUCUGUUUUUCGUUUUUCAAAAGGGAAACUUGCGUGUUUCCAUUCCAAAAUUGGACCUAAAAGCUCAGAAAAAUCCAAAAUUAAUAAGAUGAUAUUUUAUUGGCAUUGGUAUUGGUACGCGUUGUAGGCGUCGUAUUGUAACAUAUACCAAAAUCACACUUGGUCACACUUGGUCACACUUGGGUCAUAUCGUUCGGUAACUCUAUCCCGAAUAGUACUUACUUUCCAUGGAAUACGACCGUUUACUCUUUUAAGUCAAAUUUAACAUAUUUGUUUAAUUAGUUAACAGAGACCUGUUAACUUGUGUCUAGCCGGUAGGCAGAGUAACUAACUACGAGUACGAGUAUAUGUACAUAUGUAUGUAGUGUGUAUGCACAAAUACCCUUGCAGUUCGACGUCCAGCAAAAUGGAAUUAUACUAAUUUGAAGUCCACUAGGUCACAGUAACAACUUUAGCAACUCAAUCUCCCAUACCUGCAUUUAGAUUCAGAUCGCGAUCAUCAUCAGACUCUUCUAAUCUUCCGAUUCCUUUCGGAUAAGCCAGGAUCAAUUUGCAGCGAAUCCCCAAUGGGGACUCCCCAUGCGGGUACAUUUCCACGGCAUCCCUUUCUAACGAGCGCAGGCCCUCUCCCUCCCGCACGCGCUCACAUCCCUAAUGCGGUUCUGCUCUGACGACAACGCAUUUGUGAGGACACGACUACCAACAACGCAGUAUAAUGACCUGGAAGCAACGGGAGAUGUCGUCGUCAACUCUGCGACGCUGAAGGCUGUCCGCCUUUCCUUCCGCCUGUUCGUCAAAGCCAAUAUAAAACGCAAUUAGAGCCUUGGGACUCAGUGUGAGAGAGUGUGAGAGAGUGCGAGAGCUAAGCCCCUCUGCCAUAGAAGACAAUCGAUGCAGCAGCAGCAGGCAGCCUAUCCUUAUCAUCACCAUCAUUAUCAUUGCACCCGUGAACCAAAAAAUUGUGGAGGAGGAGGAGGAGUAGGAAGGGGUAUACUUUCUGCAGCUAAUUUCUCGCAAAAUAUUGGGUAUCUGGCGGAAGAAUUGUACCCUAAGGAGGAUACAUACGCUUGACUGGACUUUCCCUAUCACAUUCUGGCGGGUAUUGGAUAGAUGGAUUUUCCAGGGUAUCCCCAUCCGGAUUUUUAGAUGGAUUGCACUUACCGGGCGUUUGCUGUCGUCUAACAUAACACUCAGGACUUUUUUCUACCACCAACACGCACACGCACACGCACUUAUUCAAUCGACCUCCCCUACCGUUUUCCAUUUUCCCCCCGUACCCCGUACCCCGUACCAUCUGGUUGCCCAGCAAUCACGGGGAUUAAUUAGUUUAAGUGCGUCCCGUGUACCGUCCCGGGUAAGUAGUGCAUGUACGAGUACGUAGUACAUACAUACAUACAUAUGUAUGCAUAUGUGUGAUGCUUAGAACUUGUGGACAUGGCUGGUGAUAUUAUUUACAAGCAUUUCAAUUGAUUUAGUGCGAACGGGAAGCUUUUAAUGCAUGCAGAGUGUUUGCUACAUCUCCAGCUCCACUGCCCUCUGAACGGGCAGCUUGCUUUGGUGCACAGCUCUCUUGGGCGGACAUACAGUAUGUCAAGAAACUCUUUACACACAGAAAAUGAAUUUAAUUGUUUGACUUCGGAUAAGAAAGUAAUGGCCUUUGAUUCAAAUUUAUACAAUUUUUUAACUCAUAACGAUUCAGUGCAACAAAAAAAUAACAAAACUAUAAAUAGGUAACUUACAGAACAACAAAAACAAUGAUUACUCAUUUCUGACACUGUCAAGAAACUCUUUACACAUUUCGUUUUCGAGCUUUGUUUUGAUCUCGUUCUUAGAAAAAAGUGACUUUACCGUAAACUUUUGUUUGCUUUUGGCGUUGCUCAGUGCUGCCCUAUUUUUGCAUUGCCUUUGAUUUGGUUGCGAAAUUUUGACUUGACUUGCUUGUGUCGCACGCAACAGCACGCCAGGCCAUUCUACGUCAUAGGUACUCUUCCAGAGUUGCACAAAAAAAACCGCAGCUUUCGUCGGUGGGAUAACCGAAACGUCAUUGCGACUGUAAAGUUUGGAAAACUUUCGGCAAUGAUUUGGGGGUGUUUCUCUAGCCGGGGAGUGGGCAAUAUAGCAUUUAUAGAGAACACGAUGGAUGCCAAACAGUAAAAU